rnacentral:tRNA from 1 species
GCCUGUGUGGCUCAGUUGGUUGAGCGUCCGACUUCGGUUCAGGUUAUGAUCUCAUGGUUUGUGAGUUCAAGCCCCACGUCAGGCU